UUGAACGCUGGCGGCAUGCCUUACACAUGCAAGUCGAACGGCAGCACGGGUGCUUGCACCUGGUGGCGAGUGGCGAACGGGUGAGUAAUACAUCGGAACAUGUCCUGUAGUGGGGGAUAGCCCGGCGAAAGCCGGAUUAAUACCGCAUACGAUCUACGGAUGAAAGCGGGGGACCUUCGGGCCUCGCGCUAUAGGGUUGGCCGAUGGCUGAUUAGCUAGUUGGUGGGGUAAAGGCCUACCAAGGCGACGAUCAGUAGCUGGUCUGAGAGGACGACCAGCCACACUGGGACUGAGACACGGCCCAGACUCCUACGGGAGGCAGCAGUGGGGAAUUUUGGACAAUGGGCGAAAGCCUGAUCCAGCAAUGCCGCGUGUGUGAAGAAGGCCUUCGGGUUGUAAAGCACUUUUGUCCGGAAAGAAAUCCUUGGCUCUAAUACAGUCGGGGGAUGACGGUACCGGAAGAAUAAGCACCGGCUAACUACGUGCCAGCAGCCGCGGUAAUACGUAGGGUGCGAGCGUUAAUCGGAAUUACUGGGCGUAAAGCGUGCGCAGGCGGUUUGCUAAGACCGAUGUGAAAUCCCCGGGCUCAACCUGGGAACUGCAUUGGUGACUGGCAGGCUAGAGUAUGGCAGAGGGGGGUAGAAUUCCACGUGUAGCAGUGAAAUGCGUAGAGAUGUGGAGGAAUACCGAUGGCGAAGGCAGCCCCCUGGGCCAAUACUGACGCUCAUGCACGAAAGCGUGGGGAGCAAACAGGAUUAGAUACCCCUGGUAGUCCACGCCCUAAACGAUGUCAACUAGUUGUUGGGGAUUCAUUUCCUUAGUAACGUAGCUAACGCGUGAAGUUGACCGCCUGGGGAGUACGGUCGCAAGAUUAAAACUCAAAGGAAUUGACGGGGACCCGCACAAGCGGUGGAUGAUGUGGAUUAAUUCGACGCAACGCGAAAAACCUUACCUACCCUUGACAUGGUCGGAAUCCCGCUGAGAGGUGGGAGUGCUCGAAAGAGAACCGGCGCACAGGUGCUGCAUGGCUGUCGUCAGCUCGUGUCGUGAGAUGUUGGGUUAAGUCCCGCAACGAGCGCAACCCUUGUCCUUAGUUGCUACGCAAGAGCACUCUAAGGAGACUGCCGGUGACAAACCGGAGGAAGGUGGGGAUGACGUCAAGUCCUCAUGGCCCUUAUGGGUAGGGCUUCACACGUCAUACAAUGGUCGGAACAGAGGGUUGCCAACCCGCGAGGGGGAGCUAAUCCCAGAAAACCGAUCGUAGUCCGGAUUGCACUCUGCAACUCGAGUGCAUGAAGCUGGAAUCGCUAGUAAUCGCGGAUCAGCAUGCCGCGGUGAAUACGUUCCCGGGUCUUGUACACACCGCC
rnacentral:rRNA from 1 species